rnacentral:tRNA from 1 species
AAAAUCGUCGACUUUAUAAAUCGUGAGGGUUCAAGUCCCUCUAUCCCCA